rnacentral:lncRNA from 1 species
AAUAACCUUUGGCUGCAUAUUCUUAUCCUAAUUUUGAGUUUUGCCCCAUUUUUGCUUUAGCUGUUUUUUAAAAACACUUUUAGUUCUCACAAUUUUUUUCCCUGUCUUUUAAGCUCCUGGAGGCUUGCCCCUCUCUACUAAAAAUACAAAAAUAAGCCAGGUGUGGUGGUGGGCACCUGUAAUCCCAGCUACUCGGGAGGCUGAGGUGGGAGAAUCACUUGAACCUGGGAGGCAGAGGUUGCAGUGAGCCGAGAUCACACCAUUACACUCCAGGCUGGGCAACAGUGAGACCGGGCUGGGGUACCACAAACAUGACAGCGCCUUUGGGGACUUGUGUGCCCAUGAACACAACAGGGGGGCAAACAGCUGGUGGCUGGCUGGGAGGAGUGCUGGGAACGACUGUUGUCACAACAGGGUUGUUGGCAGGAAGGGGAACCAUCUGGCAGAUGACCGGCAUAGGUGGCACUC